rnacentral:lncRNA from 1 species
AACGGGGUAGUACCUUCGCGGUCCCCCGUAGCGCCCCCUCGACUAAGGUCGGGAUACCCCGAGGAUCGACCGUAGAGAACCAGACUCCCUCGACCUCGGGAAGCAUCGCAGGUCGGUAGAGCGUGCCCAGACCCGCCGACCUGACGUAUGAUCCCUCGACUGAGGUCGGGAUGCCCCGAGGGUCGACCGUAGAGAAUCAGACUCCCUCGACUUCGGGAGGUACCACAGGUCAGCAAAGCGUCCGCGGACCCGCCGACCUGACACAAGACCCCUCGGCCAAAGUUGAGGUGCCCCGAGGUCCGACCACAGGGUCUCAAACUCCCUCGACCUCGCAAAGAGCUACAAAUCAAUAAAGCCUCCCCAAGCCCUCUCAACCUCGGCGGGUGCUGUCGGGUCCGUGAGAAGCCCGAGCCCCCUUAAAGUCAAAAAUGACUCCGCAGGUCGACGAGGAAGGGAAGCAGCCCACUCCACCAUGCGAAGCAUAAUUCUGAGAAUGN